rnacentral:rRNA from 1 species
AAUUAAGAAAGAGAUUUUUGCAUCACGCGAUAAAAAGUGCUAACACAUCGAAGAUGUGAAGAAAAAUAGUGCUAACACAUCGAAGAUGUGAAGAGAAGUAGUGCUAACACAUCGGAGAAGUGAAGAGAAAUAGCGCUUAAAAAGUGCUGACACACAUAAGAAUGUGGAAGUAAAAAAAGCCGUAGCACAAAUUAAAAGUAAGUGUUCAGUGUUGCAGAUAAUUUAGCGGCGGACGGGUGAGUAACGCGUGAGUAACCUGCCUUUCAGAGGGGGAUAACACAGGGAAACUUGUGCUAAUACCGCAUAAAGUCUUCAUAUCGCAUGGUAGGGAGACCAAAGGAGAAAUCCGCUGAAAGAUGGACUCGCGUCCAAUUAGCUAGUAGGUAGGGUAACGGCCUACCUAGGCGACGAUUGGUAGCCGAACUGAGAGGUUGAUCGGCCACAUUGGGACUGAGACACGGCCCAGACUCCUACGGGAGGCAGCAGUGGGGAAUAUUGCGCAAUGGGGGGAACCCUGACGCAGCAACGCCGCGUGAAGGAAGAAGGCCUUCGGGUUGUAAACUUCUUUGAUCAGGGACGAAGGAAAUGACUGUACCUGAAGAACAAGCCACGGCUAACUACGUGCCAGCAGCCGCGGUAAUACGUAGGUGGCAAGCGUUGUCCGGAAUUACUGGGUGUAAAGGGCGUGUAGGCGGGGAGGUAAGUCAGAUGUGAAAUUCCAGGGCUCAACCCUGGAGCUGCAUCUGAAACUAUCUUUCUUGAGUGCUGGAGAGGAAAGCGGAAUUCCUAGUGUAGCGGUGAAAUGCGUAGAUAUUUAGGAGGAACACCAGUGGCGAAGGCGGCUUUCUGGACAGUAACUGACGCUGAGGCGCGAAAGCGUGGGGAGCAAACAGGAUUAGAACCCCUGGUAGUCCACGCUGUAAACGAUGGAUACUAAGGGGUAAGGAAGGUAUCGACCCCUUCUGGGGCCGGAAUUAACCCAAUAAGUAUCCCACCCUGGGGGAGUACGGCCCGCAAGGUUGAAACUCAAAAGGAAUUGACGG